CGCCCCCGGGUCCCCGGCCUCGCCCUCCUGCGCCGCCGGACCGCCGUGAAGCUGCUGGUCCUCGGCGUGCUG
rnacentral:tRNA from 1 species